CAGUCGAACGGAGAUGAUAAAAGCUUGCUUUGAUCAUCUUAGUGGCGGACGGGCGAUUAACACGUGAGCAACCUGCCUUUCAGAGGGGGAUAACGUUUGGAAACGAACGCUAAUACCGCAUAACGUAUACGGAUGGCAUCAACUGUAUACCAAAGGAGCAAUCCGCUGAAAGAUGGGCUCGCGUCCGAUUAGCUAGAUGGUGAGGUAACGGCCCACCAUGGCGACGAUCGGUAGCCGGACUGAGAGGUUGACCGGCCACAUUGGGACUGAGACACGGCCCAGACUCCUACGGGAGGCAGCAGUGAGGGAUAUUGGGCAAUGGGGGAAACCCUGACCCAGCGACGCCGCGUGAGGGAAGACGGUCUUCGGAUUGUAAACCUCUGUCUUUGGGGACGAAAAAGGACGGUACCCAAGGAGGAAGCUCCGGCUAACUACGUGCCAGCAGCCGCGGUAAUACGUAGGGAGCGAGCGUUGUCCGGAAUUACUGGGUGUAAAGGGAGCGUAGGCGGGAAGGCAAGUUGGAUGUGAAAACUGUGGGCUCAACCGACAGACUGCAUUCAAAACUGUUUUUCUUGAGUGAAGUAGAGGCAAGCGGAAUUCCUAGUGUAGCGGUGAAAUGCGUAGAUAUUAGGAGGAACACCAGUGGCGAAGGCGGCUUGCUGGGCUUUUACUGACGCUGAGGCUCGAAAGUGUGGGGAGCAAACAGGAUUAGAUACCCUGGUAGUCCACACCGUAAACGAUGAUUACUAGGUGUGGGGGCGUCAAGCUUCCGUGCCGGAGUUAACACAAUAAGUAA
rnacentral:rRNA from 1 species